UGGUAUAAAUUUGUAAAGCUAUUUUCAACUAAAACAGAUCUAAAAAGCCAAGUGACAAAAGAGAGAUGCUUAUUGACACUCCUGCCAUCUUCAGAAGAUGCACAGAAACAAUAGUGAACCAAAAAAUCAGAAUAUGAUACAGAUACGCUUUAGGAUACACGGGACCCAGAUCUACAGGUAAAUACACACUUGGAGAGUGUGGAAACCUGAUCAGCCCCUACUCUUACAUGCUACAGUGCACAGCAUGUUGCCAAUGAGACAUGAGGAGAGGGCAGACUUAAAACCAAAGGCAGAGCCUUGACCUACACCACUCCCCAAGGAGACGGUGCCCUGAGAAGAGGAUGCAAGAGUGAGAGAAUACAUCUGUCAUGAAGGCCUCACAGAGCUCCCAGGACUUUGCACCUGUCUCAGGUCUUCCAUUUCUGAUCAGUAGCUCUCCUGGGUCUACCCUGCUGCAUCCUAGAAUGUCUAACAGGGUUAAAUGCUAACUAUGUUGGAUAAAAAAUUAAAAGCCUUGCCUACUCUGUGUCAAAGUA